CCAAUCAUCAGAUUCCACCUAUAAUUUUUUAUUAAUUAUUCAAUCUGCCCCAUUACAGAAUGUGUACAUAGCAAACAGUCUUUUACUGUUCUCCAGACGUUGCACAUCUCCAAAGGCAGCAUCGCUUUAGUUAACUGUUCUCACUCACUAUGAUUUUCAAGGAUCACAAACUUCUUGUGAUUACCAUCAAUAUAUUGGUGAUCGGAUUCAUAAUAUACACAAUGAUCGCUAUCAGUUAAAUGUAAACGUAAAAACAAAUAUCGUAUAAAUAAAUUACCCUUAUUGUUCAUUAAAAAAACAUAGUGGAUAUGCAGUAUUUAUUUAUUUUACAACAAUGGGAACUGGUAUAGAAAACUACACAACAAGAUAACACAGUCAACUAUUACUAACUAAAGUGCUAUAAUAUAAGCUUCUUACUCUUAUUGUACGAGGAAGAGAAGAGCGAAGGAGUCGCUACAAUGGACCUAUUUUUAGAAGAGUAUAUUAGUGUAUCUGCGUAUUUCUUAAAUACAAAAUGUUGCGUCUUUGCUAAUUAUUCUAACCCUCCAACUUGUCUGAAAUAGUAGUUUUUGUGCAAUUAUAUGAUUGACUUAAUAAAUACCAUGUAAUCAUACCAUCAAUUAUGAACCGCCCUAUCACAACAUAGUAGCGUAUAGAGACUGCAGAGGCAUCGCAAAGCAGUCCGAUUUUGGUAAAAAGAGCCACUGCCGUAGAAAUCAAUGAUUCUGCAAUCCAAUACAAAGCAGUGCUUACUCGGCAAGUGGUCAUCCCUAUUCCAGCUAUAGCAUUGUCAAUCAUACUUGUAUUAAUCGGAAUGAUAUGGUCACUGAAGGAAGGAGUGAGUUUUUCAACGAAAACAAGGGGUCAUACAUAUUUACAAAAUCAUUGCGUACGAUUGUUAACAUUUAGAAUAAUUGCCCGUUAAUGUGCGAAAAAUUCUUAAAAUUGAAAAUAAUUUAAAGAAAAUUCGUAUAUUUCAUAUAUAAGCAUAUACCUACAUAUCUAUAUCUAUACUUCUAUACUAAUAUUAUAAAUGCGAAAUCCGUUUGUUUGUUACGCUUUCACGCAAAAACUACUUAACCGAUCAUCAUGAAACUUUGUACACAUACUCUUGGAGGUGUCGGAAUGAACAUUGGAUACUUUUUAUUAAAAAAUCUAUAAAUUUUUACGGAUUAUUAAAAAAAUUAUUUUGGAGGACUAUAUAUGUUUGUAAAAUACAUUUGAAAAUUUUGAAUUUUGAAAAAAAAAGUUUGGCAGAUAUGAUUGUAUGUCAAAAAAUUUAAAAAUGAAAGAAAACAAAAAUGUAUAAAAAACUUAAAUCAUAGAAAUAACACCAAUGUUAUUAGUUACUCUUAUAUACUUUAAAAAUGCCUCGAAAGCGGAAAUCUGCGCUAUCAAGAAAUUCUUCGUCGGUCCGUAAAGAUAAAGUUGCACAAAAUCAAGAAUCUGAAGUUCACGCAGAGCUGAGAAGACAACAGCAAACAGAGCGACAACGUGUUUUGAGAGCAGCUGAAACUUUUCAUCAGACACGAGUACGUUCAGAAAGACAAGCUAAGCAGCAGGAAGCUAGAAAAAACGACGGAAAGAAUUCAUGACGCAGAACUAAGGACCACGCCUCGUCGAAAUUUCAUGACUAAGGAUUGGUCUGUAUUUAAUGGUACUGGUUUUCAAUAUGAUCCUUUAGUUGAAUAUUCUAAUCAUCCCUUAAUUGUUCUUGGCUCAAUGGAUAAAAAAUGUCAGCAUUGUAAUGCUUUUAAAUGGAAAGACGAAACUGCUGGAAUGUGCUGCAGCACUGGUAAAGUUUCACUUCUAUUACUUGGUGAAUCAGAAGAACCUUAAAAAACUUUAUUAUUUAGUGUCACAGCUGAGUCAAAACGAUUUCUAAGUAAAAUAAGGAAGUAUAACUCUUGCUUUAAAAUGACAUCCUUCGGAGUUGAUAAAGUGAUAAGAAUGCCUGGAUUUUCACCAACCUUUACUGUAUAAGGACAAAUAUAUCAUCAAAUUGAGACAUAGUAUUACGAGCACAUAAUAAUGCGUUUAAGCGCGUAGCCGAUACUGAUAAAUUUUAUGGCGCUUCGCAGUAUCCAUUAAUUUUCAGUAAAGGUGAAACAGGAUAUCAUUUCAAUAUUUCAGUCAUCAAUCCGACAACGAACGAGCCACUUUCAAAUAAAAAAAGUUUCCUGUAUGGACUUUUAUGCGUAUUAUAUGAUGCUUCGAGAACAUGACUCCAAUCUUCUUCUGCGUACAAGGCAUCUCUUCACUCAAUUUUUAGUAGAUAUGUAUAUUAAAGCAGAGAGUCUUCGUCUUCGUUACAUUUCUCUAAAUCAGAAAAAAUUACGAGCUGAAAAUUACAUACAUCUACACGAUGCGAUUAACGCAAAUGACAAUAUUAGACCUAAUGACAUUGGCAAAAUGGUUAUUCUGCCGUCCAAUAUUGUGAACAGUCCCAGUUAUCUGCAUGAGUACACUCAAGACGCAUUUACUUAUGUACGAACUUAAGGAAGGCCUGACCUCUUCGUAACUUUUACCUGUAAUCCUUCGUGGCAGAAUGUAACUCAAGAACUUAUAGCUGGUCAAAAGCAACUGAUCGUCACGAUAUAGUUGCUCGCGUAUUUCGUUUAAAGGUUCAGAAGUUAAUGACCGUUGUGACUAAAGGAAAAAUAUUUGGAGACGUCGAGUGCCAUAUGUACUCACUCCAUUGAAUGGCAUAAACGAGGUCUACCACAUGUGCACAUAUUGAUUUGGUUAAAACAGAAGCUACUUCCUAAUCAAAUAGACAAAAUAAUAAGCGCUGAAAUUCCAGAUACAGAAGAAGAUAAAAAUCUGUACGACACGGUUAUUAAAAACAUGUUUCCCGUCAAGCUUAGCUUUGCCGUAAAUAUAAACAAAGCACAAGGACAAACAUUACAGGUGGCAGGAGUGCAUUUAGAAAAGUCAAGCUUUUCACAUGGUCAACUAUAUGUAGCCUGUCCGGAAUUUACACAUAUUUGCACCCAACGGGAAAACGUAUAAUAUAGUUAAUAAAAAUAUCCUUGAAUAAUCAUCUA